GUGUGGCGCGCGCUGGGAGGGUCUUGUCUUUUAACUCCCUAGGAGCUGGGUCUUCGCUUGUGCGCUGGACCUGAAGAAACCCGAGUGUUUGGACCUGGGGGAGGGAGCGCCGGCCGGAAACCCCGCACGCUGGAGGCGGAGCCAGGCGGCGUCCCAGGCCACAUUGGGCGAGUUCCAGCGGUGCGGUGAACUACGCUGAAAAACCCUGUCUGGAAGAACAACAACAGCAAAAAAGGGAGGGAGGGAGAGAGACAGAUAAAAAUGGGUGUAUUUUACCUCAUACUAUAGAAAAGAGCUGUAUCUAUGGUGGCAGGCUCUGUGUAAUUCCCAGCACUGAGGAGUCUGAGGCAUGAAGAGUUAGCCUGGACCACACUGCCAUCUUGUAAGGAUCAGAUAAGAGUGAGAAAAUCUGAGGACUGGAGAGAUGGCUCAGCGGUUGAGCACUGACUGCUUUUCAAAAGGUCCUGAGUUCAAAUCUCAGCAACCACGUGGUAGCUCACAGCCAUCCGUAAUGAGAUCUGACGCCCUCUUCCAGUGCCUCUCAAGACAGCUACAGUGUACUUAGAUAUAAUAAUAAAUAAAUAAUAAUAAAUAAAUCUUUUUUUGAAAAAAUAAGAAAAUCUGGCGUGCUAUUACACAACAAGGUGACAGUAGAUAAUGGAUUUGCUGUAUAUUUUCUAAAAGUAGAAAGAUUUUGAAUGCUUUCACCAUAAACAAUAUAUGAGAAGAUAUGUUUAACCCAAUUUAAAGAAUACAAUGUGUGUGUCAAAAGUAAUGUAUUCCUUAUGAUGAUGAUACUUACAUAAACACGUAAAAUUCAUAUGUUUUAAUGUAGUUUAAUUUUAUUUUAAAUUAAAAUGAUGCUCUAGAAGAAAAUAAAAGGCUGAACCCAGCACC
rnacentral:lncRNA from 1 species